rnacentral:misc_RNA from 1 species
AGUACGGCAUAGCACCUGGAGAGCGCCUUCUUUGCCUUUUUUCUUUUCGCUCGGACUGUCUGGCCACGCGCGUGUGUGCGCAUGGGAGACGCCUUUGUUGUUGGCCGUGCUUCAAGUCACGCAAGCGACUGAAUGGUGGACGCGCGCCUAUAAAGCGCAUCGACACGCUGGCUCCUCGACGCAUGGGGUGGGUGGGGCGCUGCCACAAACAAGAACGAAGGAGAGCGGUAGAGGACUGUCGUCCCGUGCCUCAUUUGCGAACUGUGGAAGUUCUCUAGUCUUCGUUCGCUGGACUUCCUAUCCCCUCAAGCAGGAAUGUCUCUCUGGCCGUUUCGGACGGGCAACGAUGACCGCUUCCAGACGAGCAGCGGCCCGUCUGGCGCCGAUGACAUCUACGCCACCAUGCGCCAGGGGGGCCUACCGCCGCACAGCUACGGAGUCGAAGUGGACAGCUAUUUGGAGUGGCGGUGGCGGCGGGGGUUUCUGCAGAGCGUUUUCCCAGUGACAUGCUACGGUGCAGUCGCUGGUUUUUGCGUCGGCUUCCGGCAGUCGCGCAUUGAGGGCCGCUACGUUGGUCGGUACCGCAUUAUGUGGCGGUACACCUCGACAUUUGCGGCGGUGGGACUUCUGACGAGCGCGUUCCACCACCUCCUCGUCGUGCGCAACCGCUACCACGACAAGUUCUACUACCCCAUAGUGGCCGGCACCGCAGGCGCGGUGGUUCUUUCCCUGGCAUCGCAGAUGGGCACCAUAGGGCAGAGCAUGUUCGUGGGCGCCUUCCUCGGCGUCUUGUACGGGCUUGGCUGCUACGGCACGACCUACUACCACCGACGACGCCUGCGCGUCUUUUUGCACGAGCAGCGGGUCCGGCAGGUGCCCAUUCACAAGGUCUCGCCGGAGCUGCAGCCCAUGUACCGCGCCUUCCUGUACGACAACCGCCCUUUGGAAGAGGAAGACAAAAAGAGCCGCGAGGCCGUCACCCUCUCCCGCUCUGUCGACGACACUCGCCUCGAUGCCCACACGUUCAUGAGCAACAUGACACCGGAGGUGUUUGAUUGGGUGAACUUUCCGGACUGGUGGCCGUUGAAGUGGCCCAUGCAGACGGAGGAGGAGCAGAUGCUGCUGGAGCGUCAGCGGAACGAGGAGAUCGAGCGGCGCAAGAACACGUUUCUAGAGACGGAGGACGCUGGUCUGUUGAAGCGCAAGAACCGUGCGAAGAAGUAUCGUGAUCUGUGACGUGCACGAGGGGGCAACGGAGGCGGGAGGGGGUGAUGGUGAGCACCUACCUCGAAGCUACACGUGCACACUCGUGUGCUCAAUGGCGUACAUACGCAUACUCGUUGGAGUUGGGCCGUGCGACGUUUAUGGGAUGUUGUCGGCGUUCGUGCGGGCACCUUGGUUGGUGUUGUUCUGGAUUUAUCUGUACUCACAUUCCAAGCUUCUGCUCGUGUCCCACCCACCCAACCACAGAGACGUGAGCGCAUGCCGACACAGGGCCGAAGCAGAAAGAGGUGAAGGCGGCGUGAAACGGCGUCCUCGAGGUGAGCAGGCGUGUCUCUCUUCGAUGCCCCCAUCGGUGUGUUGAUGGAGACGUGUAGGGCGCGGCCAUGUUGUGUUCAAUGCGUACGGAGGAACGCGAAUCGAU